rnacentral:rRNA from 1 species
AGAGUUUGAUCCUGGCUCAGGACGAACGCUGGCGGCGCGCUUAACACAUGCAAGUCGAGCGAGAACCAGUCCCUCGGGACUGGGGACAGCGGCGAACGGGUGAGUAACACGUGGGUAAUCUGCCCUCGAUUCUGGGAUAGCCCGGGGAAACCCGGAUUAAUACCGGAUAGCCUCUCGAGCUUACGAGCUCGUGAGAAAAGGUAGCUUCGGCCUCCGAUCGAGGAUGAGCCCGCGGCGGAUUAGCUUGUUGGUGGGGUAAUGGCCUACCAAGGCGACGAUCCGUAGCUGGUCUGAGAGGACGAUCAGCCACACUGGGACUGAGACACGGCCCAGACUCCUACGGGAGGCAGCAGUGGGGAAUCUUGCGCAAUGGGCGAAAGCCUGACGCAGCGACGCCGCGUGGGGGAAGAAGGCCUUCGGGUUGUAAACCUCUUUCAGCAGGGACGAAGCCACUCGGGUUAAUAGCCCAGAGGGUGACGGUACCUGCAGAAGAAGCCCCGGCUAACUACGUGCCAGCAGCCGCGGUAAUACGUAGGGGGCAAGCGUUGUCCGGAUUUUAUUGGGCGUAAAGAGCGUGUAGGCGGCAAAUAGGUCGGUUGUGAAAACUGGAGGCUUAACCUUCAGACGUCGACCGAAACCAUUCGGCUAGAGUCCGGAAGAGGAGAAUGGGAAAUUCCUGGUGUAAGCGGUGAAAUGCGCAGAUUCAGGAAGAACACCCGUGGCUUAGGGCGGUUCUCUAGUACGGUACUUGACCGCUGAGAACGCGGAAAGCGUGGGGGAGCCGAAACAGGAUUAGAUUACCCUUGGU